UGGAGAGGAAAUGGUCAGGCUCUGGAGGAGACCCUCCACGGACCUCCAAAAGGGUCUUUGUAGGUCGUGGCAAGCCGAGGGGAAGGCGAGGAGGGCGACACCAAGCCUCAGCUACAGGUUAUAUGUGAAUUAUUUGACGUUUGUUGGAAUUUAUUAUGUAAAUGGUGGACCAACUGAAAUUAGAGCACUGUAAUUGAUUGUUGAGAAUUUAAAAUACUCCGAUAUCCAAAAAGACAUUAAAAAGUUCAUAAACCUUUUUGUGGCACUAUUAUAGAAGACAUUACCAAGUACUUAACAGAAAUAUGUCUGAUUUUAAAAAUUGUUCAGUAUAUACAGUUGGUUAAAAAAAAAAGAAAGAACAUGAUUGCAGUUAUAGCCUAACCUGUUGUUAUUUUUCUGUGUUUUACAGUCACACACCCCCGGUUGAGUGUUCCCUGUCAUCCAGCGUGGAGGUUCCCUCAGAAAUACUGAAUCCUCAAGAGGAAUUUGAGAAAAAUAUGGAGAGGCUCUCAAACAUUUUGGCAUCAUGUCCUUCUGCUGAGCCUCAAAGAAGCUUUGCCUCAUCAUGGUCUUUUCGGCAGCAGAAAGCCUCAGAGCGCUGGAAAGAGGCAAGACCAUACCACCUACAAUGCCUUAUCGCAAAGGAGGCUCUUGGUCAUCCCUCGUGUUGCCUUUGCCACGAGCCUGCUGUUAUCAGGUGCAGAGAGUGUCUUCCUGAGGAUUGGUUCUGUGGGGACUGUGAUGUAUUGCA